rnacentral:rRNA from 1 species
UACGUAGGGACCAAGCGUUGUCCGGAAUCAUUGGGCGUAAAGAGCGUGUAGGCGGCUUGUUAAGUCUUGCGUGAAAUCUCGGGGCUCAACCCCGAGCGGUCGUGAGAAACUGGCAGGCUAGAGUGCGGGAGAGGAGAGUGGAAUUCCUGGUGUAGCGGUGAAAUGCGCAGAUAUCAGGAAGAACACCCGUGGCGAAGGCGGCUCUCUGGAACGCAACUGACACUGAGACGCGAAAGCGUGGGGAGCAAACAGG